GCCGGGGUGGCGGAAUUGGCAGACGCGCAUGGUUGAGGGCCAUGUGGGCUUCGGCCCGUGCGGGUUCAAAUCCCGCCCCCGGCA
rnacentral:tRNA from 1 species